rnacentral:tRNA from 1 species
ACACUGUUGGUUCAAUGGUAGAAUGGGACGUUCCCAUCGUCUUGAUAGGGGUUCGAUUCCCCUACAGUGUA